AAACCGCUCCUGCGCGCCGGCCCGUCCACCCCUGCAGACGCUGACUCCCUUCUCCUGGCGCCGAGUCUGGCUCGAGGGGCAGCACAUGGCGCCUCCAAGGGCUCAGCUGGGAGUCGGGAUUCGCAAGGCAGUAAAUCGAACUCAAAGGAAAGCUGUAUACCUGCACAAGUGGUGGCUGCCAUUGAUGUCAACACUGUCGCUAAUGAAGUAUACAAGUAUAAUUUUCCUCACACACAGUUACUUGCCAAGACAAUUGAAUUACAUACUGUAGAGUAAAUGAUAGCUACUGAAGACAGAGUGAUCCAUGAUAAAUAUCAUUAAUGCCUCUGAAGAAGAGAAUGACUCCAGUGGAACAAAAACUCUUAAUGAAAAUAGAUAAAAAUUUUUCUAGAAUGAAAUUUACAAUAUAACAUCCAUGAGCCCUUCUGGAACAGAUGACUGCAUCACUUCAUCUAGCUGAGGAAGAGAUGAAUCAAAGUAGAAAACCCAGGAGUGAAGCUGCCAUGUUAGGGGGAAAACUAUGGUUAGAAAAUAGGUGAAAAUGUUGUAAAGCUUUGCAGUGUAGAAAUAAUAAUGUAAUCGCAGUGGGAAGAGGCAGUGAGACACAAAAAAUAUGUCUUUGCAGAUAAAUGAAACUAUCAAUUUUUUAGGACAUUAUUCAGUGUUAUUGUAAGGGUCUCAGCAGAGAUGGGAAAGAGAAAGCUCAGCUGUCAAGAGUGUUAUAGUA
rnacentral:sRNA from 1 species